GAAUCGCAGGGGCUUCUUGAGGCAUAGAGAGUCUAACGUGAUCUACAGUUCUGGACCAUUCCAAGAAGCGCAACGAAGCUUAAUUUGGUGUACGAGGUGGCGAACACGCCCGGGGGCAGUUAAGGAAACUCAAAGUUGGAACGCCAGCAUGAGGGGUCCGCCUCACGAAUUACGCAAUSACGUCGUGACUCUCCGCCUUUGGAGGGUUGUGAAUCGUGAGUAGCAAAUGCCGUACCUGAUGGUCCCAUAGAUUAGGACAAGCGAUGGGUACGAAAGCUCGGAGUCGCAGUCAACGUCUGGUCUGUCGGCGGAAGCGGUGACCACAAGAAGGUAUAUAGAUCGCGUAAGGUGGCGAUGUGUACCUCAAGGUGACAGGAGAAGACGUGAGUUCAGUGGGUCAAAGGCUACGUGAAGAAGCCAAUUCGGCUUCAAAAGUGUAGUCUGAAUUCAYUGGCGGACGCGAGCGAAAUGCGGGUUAUUUAGG
rnacentral:rRNA from 1 species